CAAUAGCGUAUAUUUAAGUUGUUGCAGUUAAAAAGCUCGUAGUUGGAUUUCGGUUAAGAGCGACCGGUCCGCCGUUUGGUGUGCACUGGUUGGUUUUAACUUCCUGUAGAGGACGUGCUCUGGGUUUAACGACCUGGACUCGGAGUCUACGUGGUUACUUUGAAAAAAUUAGAGUGUUCAAAGCGGGCUUACGCUUGAAUAUUUCAGCAUGGAAUAACACUAUAGGACUCCUGUCCUAUUUCGUUGGUCUCGGGACGGGAGUAAUGAUUAAGAGGAACAGUUGGGGGCAUUCGUAUUUCAUUGACAGAGGUGAAAUUCUUGGAUUUAUGAAAGACGAACUUCUGCGAAAGCAUUUGCCAAGGAUGUUUUCAUUAA
rnacentral:rRNA from 1 species